CAUUCAUUUAUCAUUGUGGAAUUUAUGAAAAUGAUCUAUAGAGACAAUAAUAUCAUACACAUCAUAAUUUCAUGCACAAUCAAUAACAUAAAAUAUAUCAUAAAUUCAUAUUCAUUAACAAUAAACUAAAUCAUAACUGUUUCUCGUUUCGCCAGCCUACUAGUAUCCAUGGGGAUCCAUAGGGGUGUCCUCGCUACACGUGAACCAUUUUCUUUAAUAAUCUCAAUUACAGGGCUGUCCUCAUACCCCGUCCGGAAUGAGUGCUAAGACAUUAAACCUCAAUACCCCGUCCGGUAUGAGGAUGAAGCGGGCCAU
rnacentral:lncRNA from 1 species